rnacentral:rRNA from 1 species
AGAGAUCAUGGCUCAGAAUGAACGUUGGCGGCGUGGAUUAGGCAUGCAAGUCGUACGGGCCGCAAGGCCAGUGGCGCAAGGGUGGGUAAGGCGACGGCAACCAACCCCAUGGCCGGGUAUAGCCGCGGGAAACCGCGGGUAAUCCCCGGCGACGCAACCGGCCGGCAUCGGCCGGUUGCCAAAGCUCCGGCGCCGUGGGACGGGCCGUCGUGGUAUUAGGUCGUUGGCGGGGUAAUGGCCCACCAAGCCUGCGAUGCCUACCGGGCGUGCGAGCGCGGCCCGGCACACUGGGACUGAGACACUGCCCAGACUCCUACGGGAGGCUGCAGUCGAGAAUCUUCGGCAAUGGGCGCAAGCCUGACCGAGCGACGCCGCGUGGAGGACGAAGGUCCUCGGGUUGUAAACUCCUGUCGAGGGGGAAGAAGGUCCCGCAAGGGGCUUGACUGAUCCCUGUAGGAAGCACGGGCUAAGUUCGUGCCAGCAGCCGCGGUAAGACGAACCGUGCGAACGUUAUUCGGAAUCACUGGGCUUAAAGCGCGUGUAGGCGGGCCGGCACGUCGGUCGCUGAAAUCCCCCGGCUCAACCGGGGAAGGGGCGCCGAUACGACCGGUCUGGAGGGGCGUAGGGGGAUC